UUUCAUUGUUCAUUAUACAACUAUUUUACUUACCAUUAAAAUCCAACUGAUAUAGUUUGAUAUUACAGAUAUGAAUUCCAGGAAUUCGUUAAACAGUUUAUAAUCUAUUCAAAUUAACAAGAAAAACAUAUGUUCCCAUGCAUGUAGAAACUCAGUGGAGAUAAAACUACAUUUGCAAAUGAGGCAGAGCACCAAUGAAGUGAUUAUUGGGCAUGUGUUGUGUGGUCUAAUAUAGGAAGUACAUUAGUUGUACGAGUGAUAAUGCGAUUUAUUGCAUGUAAAUUUAUCAUCAAAUUUGAAAGAUAUUGUACAUUUAUUUUGGAGAUCGAUAUAUCAUUGUUUGAUUUCAGUCUUUUGUUUUUACCUUUUCAAAUAGUUGGUCUGCUUCUCUAUAUUUUCUCAUUGCCUCCAGGCAAAAGGUCAGUUUUCUUUUUUGUCAUUAAAAUGUUCUUAGAUUCUGGUUAUAUGUGUUUGGUUUUUUGCUAUUGUAUCUUUUGAAGUUUGCUUAAUUGUAUAUUUGUUUGCAUCUGGUUUUACUUGGUUGGUCUAUAGGUGGCUUGGUUGUAUCUUCCCCCUUCCUUUUUAUCAAUUUAUUGCUUGGCAAUGUUAAUUUGUAACUGCAUUGCGCAAAAAAACGAGGACUAGUAAGAGAGUGGAUGAUACAAGAAAGACAUAAUAUCCUGCCUUAAUUGGUGCACAAGUGUGUAAUGACAAUAUUUAUCAUGCUAACAAUGUGGAAAUCAACCUGCAUUAUUAGCUUUUACUACCCUCAUGUAAAUUUGUAAUCAGUCAUUGAUUUCUGUUCUUUUAUGCACAGUUUUGGGUUUGUGGUGUUGUGUUGAUUGAUGCUAUUGGGGCUGGAGAAUGUUAAAAUCCCAUGUUGGAAGCUUAACUAAAUGAAAUACAAAAAGAAAUGAAUGUUGGCAAUGUUAAUUAGUAGUGAACCGCUAGACCGCCUCUAGAAUGAUGGCUGGCUGGCUAGCCCCACCAAUUUUGUGUUUCCAUCUAAUUUGGUGUAUAUCUUUGGCAGAUGGAUUGGGGAGAUGCCGAUUGCUAGCAGAUGGAACAAUUGCUUCUUGGGCUCUUCUAACUAACUGACAUUCAGUAUCAUCUCACAACGACGAAAUCGCGCAGGGCUUCGUUGAUUUCUGUCAACUCCGACCUCGACCAGCAUCGGGUAACCUAUUGACCACCCCCUCUCCAUCUUCUUUUUCUUCUUCCGCUUCUCCCUGUGCAUUCCAGUUUGACUGUCUAUGAUCGAAAAGAACAUCUGCUGCUCCACGAAAGAUUCGGUUUUUGCCUGAUCAUUGUCAAACGCUGUAGCAACUAUCUAAAGCAUUUUGCCUUUUGAAAAGCAGCUGCAGGGAAAGUAUGAGAAAUUCAAACAUCAUCCUGCAAUCAAAACACCGCUGGAUGGUGGAACUGUUCCCUAUAAGUAUGCUGUCAGCACUGAAUGAAAUGUUUAUUGAAGAGUUAAGGCAUGAGGCUUUAAGAACAGGGUUUCUCAUAGCUCGAGUUCUCAUUGUUGUCAAUCAUAGUGAUUUCAUGCCGAAGCAGAUAUCGUUAAAAGAGCUCUAAGUCACCCUCUGAAAUUAAUUGCCAAAUGUGAUGUUGUAAAUGGAAGCAUUGUGCUUUCAAGUGACAACCCCAACUAUGGAUGCAUGUUGCCACUGGAAACUAUGAAAAUUUAAUAGUUGCUGGGAUCACUGAUCCAACUAAAGUGGGUUUCUUUAUCAAGUACUUCAUGAAUAGAAUAUUUCGGAGAUCCAAUCGCUGGGACAGAUUGAAGAAGGUUGAGAAUGGGAAAGCUUUGCUGGAGGUGGAGGUGAGAAUUUUAAUUUAAUUCAUGGUAUAUUGUUGUUGUUGUUUUUUUUUUUUUUACUUUAUUUUUGUGGGAUUGUGCUGUUUUUGGGGAAAACAAUAUUAAAUUGAAGUAAAGUUUAGAUAUUUCUGUAAUUGGAUCUUAAUUCGUUGACUGGUAUGCAACUAUGAAUUUUUCUAGAUGCUAGCAAAUCUAUAGACCGAGAGAAAGCAAAGUCGUUUCC